rnacentral:rRNA from 1 species
UGGGGAAUAUUGCACAAUGGGCGCAAGCCUGAUGCAGCGACGCCGCGUGGGGGAUGACGGCCUUCGGGUUGUAAACUCCUUUCGCUAGGGACGAAGCUUUUUGUGACGGUACCUAGAUAAGAAGCACCGGCUAACUACGUGCCAGCAGCCGCGGUAAUACGUAGGUGGCAAGCGUUAUCCGGAAUUAUUGGGCGUAAAGCGCGCGUAGGCGGUUUUUUAAGUCUGAUGUGAAAGCCCACGGCUCAACCGUGGAGGGUCAUUGGAAACUGGAAAACUUGAGUGCAGAAGAGGAAAGUGGAAUUCCAUGUGUAGCGGUGAAAUGCGCAGAGAUAUGGAGGAACACCAGUGGCGAAGGCGACUUUCUGGUCUGUAACUGACGCUGAUGUGCGAAAGCGUGGGGAUCAAACAGG